CAGCAGCCGCGGUAAUACAGAGGGUGCAAGCGUUAAUCGGAAUUACUGGGCGUAAAGCGCGCGUAGGUGGUUUGUUAAGUUGGAUGUGAAAGCCCUGAGCUUAACUUAGGAAUUGCAUUCGAUACUGGGAAGCUAGAGUAUGGGAGAGGAUGGUAGAAUUCCAGGUGUAGCGGUGAAAUGCGUAGAGAUCUGGAGGAAUACCGAUGGCGAAGGCAGCCAUCUGGCCUAAUACUGACGCUGAGGUACGAAAGCAUGGGGAGCAAACAGGAUUAGAUACCCGAGUAGUCCCUGUCUCUUAUAC
rnacentral:rRNA from 1 species